UCCCCGGGGGUCUAGUGGCUAGGAUACGCGGCUCUCACCCGCGAGGCCCGGGUUCGAUUCCCGGCACGGGAAA
rnacentral:tRNA from 1 species